GCCACUUCACACAAUACAUAAAUAAAACAUACAUCAUUCAGAGUACACACAUAGGCCGACUACGGACAAAUCCAAAUAAAAAGAAGAUAACCCAACUGCUAGAUCCCGAUCUUCCCCAACUGGGCAUCACUACUGAUCAACAUGAAAAUAAACAUAGAAACGACCAAGUCUCUCGUCGAAACCCGACUUGAGUUCGGCAGCAUCACCUGCGCUGGUAUCCUCGGCACCUGCAAUUAUUUUUGUAGUAAUAUGUGAGCCACAAGGACUCAGCAAUCCCAUUACCAUGGGUAACAAGACUAGCAAAGCUUAAUGGGAAAGGAAGGGGUAAAGUGGUGAGGUUGCAGCAGCGGCUAAGCAAGUAUGGUGGCUAUCAUACGCAAAUAAGAGCGAGAAGAGAAGCAAUGGAACGGUCGUCAACUAGUAAUGAACAAGAAGUGAUCCUGAACUCCUAUUUACGCCAAGCAUAACCCAAGGACCGUGUUCUCCUCUCGAACAACCCCGAAAGAGAGACAAUCACAGUUACGCACACGGUUGGUGUAUUUUAGAAAAGAUUACUUCAAGUUUACUACAACCGGAUAUUAACAAAUUCCCAUCUGCCACAUAACCGCGGGCACGGCUUUCGAAAGUUCAAAACCCUGCAGGGGUGUCCCAACUUAGCCCAUGAUAAGCUCUCACGGUCAACGAAGGAUAUUCCUUCUCCCGGGAAGACCCGAUCAAUCUCGGAAUCCCGGUUACAAGACAUUUCGACAAGUUAAAAUAAGACCAACAAAGCCGCCCGGCGUGUCGACACCCUGAUAGAAGCCGCACGUAUCUCGUUCUCAGGACACGACCGGAUGAGUCAAGCUACGAGUAAAACCAGCCCUCAAGUUUCCCCGAGGUGGCCCCGCAGGUUGCUCGGUUCGGACCAGCACUUAGAGAAGCACUGGCCCGGGGGGGGCUAAAUAAAGAUGACCCUUGAGUCUGCAGAACCCAAGGGAAAGGUAUAGGUGGUAGGUAGGCAAAUGGUAAAACCAAAGUUAGGCCUUGCUGGAGGAGUUUUAUUCAAGGCGAACUGUCAAGGGGGUCCCAUAAAUCACCCAACCGUGUUAGGGACGCAAAAAUCUGGGAACAUAAUACCGAUAUGACGGAAACUAGGGUGGCAAGAGUGGAACAAGACACUAGGCAAAAGGCCGAGCCUUCCACCCUUUACCUAGUAUAUAGAUGCAUUAAUAAUAUAAGAGAUAUUGUGAUAUCCCAACAUAAACAUAAACCAACAUGGAGCAAACUUCAUCUUCACCUGCAACUAGCAACGCUAUAAGAGGGGCUGAGCAAAAGCGGUAACAUGGCCAAACAACGGUUUGCUAGGACGGGUGAAAAAGGUUAGAGGUUCAUGGCAAUUUGGGAGGCUUGAUAAGCAAGUGGUAGGUAACGCGGCAUAGCGAUAGAACGAAGCAACUAGUAUAGCAAUGAGAUCCAAGGUGACGGUCAUCUUGCCUGAAAUCCCGCUUGGAAGAAGAACGAGUCCAUGAAGCAGACAAACGGGCGGAGUCGAACGAAUCCUCACAACUCCGGAACGAAACCGUAGCUAACAAGAGAAGCAAACCGGAAAGGAGCAAACAACAUAGUAAACAAUCAUCACAUAAACAUGGCAUGAUGCACAAUCAAGUAUGAUGCAUGUCCGGUUUAAGGAGGCAUGGCAUGACAAAGUGCACAAAACAAAACUACAAAUUAAGUGGAGCUCAAUAUGCAACGAGUUGCAUAUUGCCGAAACACCACAUUCAAGUUAUUUAGUUCGCUCUCGGUUAUGUACCCAACAAUAUUAAAAGUUAUUAAACAUGGCAAGGGGUGAAGCAUAAUAAAUCUAUCUAUUUAAGUAAGUUUAAAUGAGGCCGGAAAUAACAAACAACAAGUCCGGUAAAUCCUCAUGUGCAUAUUUUUGAUUUGGUACUGUUCUGCCCUAAAUCAUAUUUUAAUAUUGUUAAACAGUAAAACAAAGUGCAUCAAGUUAAUCUAUGCAUUUUCCACCCCAUUUACAUAUAAAGUUUAUUAAAAUCGGAGUUACGGUUAUUUAGUUAUGAAAUAAAUCAUUUUCAUGGCAAUUUGAGCAAAUUUAAACAAACAACAUUUUAAGCAUUUUAAACAUGGAUGAAAGCAACAUAUUAUGAAACUAGAUGAAAUUCUAAGCAUUUUACAUAUAUAAUUCAUUUUAAUAUGAUGCACGGAUGUGGAGUUAUUAAUGCAUGAACAUUAAGGGGUUUUCUGAAAAACUGCAGUUCCUGGGAAAAUAGCUAAAAUCGCAACAGAGGAAAAAAACGCAUCGGGCCGAAUCUGGGACGGAUUGGGUGCAGGACUGUGGGUGGCUCACCAUGGGCCAAGCCCAGUUCGGUGGGGAGGAGGAUGGGCAGGCCGCGAAGGGGCGCGCUGGGCCUUGGCGCGGAGGAGGCCGACCCGUGGUUGCAGCCCAUGUGAGCAGCCGAAUCGGUCAACAGGCGAAGGGGCGGGCGAGCUGCUGCUGCUCAUCUCUGAAGAACAGAACCAACAGCAGGUUCAGGGCGACGGACGGCGAGAUGGUGGGGUCGACAGGCGCGAGAAGCAGCGGGUCGGCGAGGCAACCGGCGACGGGGAGAGCUUGGCCGGAUCCGAACAAGGAGGCAGGCCGGCGGCAGGGCAAACGGCGGCGGCUUGGCGAGGGACUUGGCGCUGGAGCUUCAGACGAAGCAGGGCGCGACAGCAGCAGCACGAGGGCGCGAAACAGAGGCAACGGCGGCGGCUUGGCGAGGGACUCGGCGCGACGACGGCGAACUUGGCGCGGCGGAGCUUGCUGCUGGCGAUGCGGGGCGACGGCCGC
rnacentral:lncRNA from 1 species